rnacentral:rRNA from 1 species
AGUAACACGUGGAUAACCUACCUAUAAGACUGGGAUAACUUCGGGAAACCGGAGCUAAUACCGGAUAAUAUUUUGAACCGCAUGGUUCAAAAGUGAAAGACGGUCUUGCUGUCACUUAUAGAUGGAUCCGCGCUGCAUUAGCUAGUUGGUAAGGUAACGGCUUACCAAGGCAACGAUGCAUAGCCGACCUGAGAGGGUGAUCGGCCACACUGGAACUGAGACACAGUCAAG